AUUUUCCGGUUGAUCCUGCCGGAGGCCAUGCUAUCGGGGUUCGAUUAAGCCAUGCGAGUCGAGAGGUGCAAGACUCGGCGCACUGCUCAGUAACACGUGGACAACCUACCCUCAGGAGGGGGAUAACCCCGGGAAACUGGGGAUAAUACCCCUCUCUUCACAGAAAAUGCUGGAAUGCCUCCUGGUUCAAAGGUCCGCCGCCUGAGGAUGGGUCUGCGGCCGAUUAGGUUGUUGUUGGGGUAACGGCCCAACAAGCCUUUGAUCGGUACGGGUUGUGAGAGCAAGAGCCCGGAGAUGGAUUCUGAGACACGAAUCCAGGCCCUACGGGGCGCAGCAGGCGCGAAAACUUUACAAUGUGAGAAAUCGUGAUAAGGGAACCCCGAGUGCCCGUAAAUUCGGGCUGUCCGCCAGUGCAAAUAGCUGGUGAAGAAAGGGCCGGGCAAGACCGGUGCCAGCCGCCGCGGUAAUACCGGCGGCUCGAGUGGUGGCCACUAUUACUGGGCUUAAAGCGUCCGUAGCUUGAUUGUUAAGUCUCUUGGGAAAUCCACCGGCUCAACCGAUGGGCGUUCAGGAGAAACUGGCAAUCUAGGGACCGGGAGAGGUGAGAGGUACUCCAGGGGUAGGAGUGAAAUCCUGUAAUCCUUGGGGGACCACCUGUGGCGAAGGCGUCUCACUAGAACGGCUCCGACAGUGAGGGACGAAAGCUGGGGGAGCAAACCGGAUUAGAUACCCGGGUAGUCCCAGCUGUAAAUUGAAGAGAGAUUAGGUGUAUCGGUGACCACGAGUCAUCGAGGUGCCGAAGGGAAACCGUGAAACGUGCCGCCUGGGAAGUACGGUCGCAAGGCUGAAACUUAAAGGAAUUGGCGGGGGAGCACCACAGCAGUGGAGCCUGCGGUUUAAUUGGAUUCAACGCCGGAAAU
rnacentral:rRNA from 1 species